UUCAACAUUUCUUGGCUUGCUUUUGCAACAUCAGCAGCUGCUGCCGCAGCUGCUUUUGCAGCCGCUGCUGCCUCUUCUGCCAAACUUGGUUUUGCAUUAGCUUUCUUCAUACGGUCAUCAUCUUCUUCCAAUACAACUUUACGUAUCCAAGACUUCAUUCUAGGGAUAAUAGCAUUCUUAAUUAACACAGCUGUUCCAGCACCUGAAGCUGCCAGUAAUCAAGCUGCCAGUAAUCCUACAGCAAAAACAACAUGAUACCAGCGAAAUCGGGAUUGCGUUAAAGUUCCCACAGAGGAAAUGGCACCAGUAGGAACAGAUGCUGCAGGUUGAAGAGCUUGCGUUUGAGCUGGUGGCUGAACAUUUGAUGUUGAUGUCACUUGCGCUUCUUGAUUUGUACCAGUUGAUUGUGUGCUUGGAGGUGGAUCUGGAACAUGACGAAAAGCUUCAUCAAUCUCCUCCUUC
rnacentral:misc_RNA from 1 species